rnacentral:rRNA from 1 species
UACGGAGGGUGCAAGCGUUAUCCGGAUUCACUGGGUUUAAAGGGUGCGUAGGUGGGCAAGUAAGUCAGUGGUGAAAUCUCCGGGCUUAACCCGGAAACUGCCAUUGAUACUGAUAGACUUGAGUACAGAUGAAGUGGGCGGAAUGUGACAAGUAGCGGUGAAAUGCUUAGAUAUGUCACAGAACACCGAUUGCGAAGGCAGCUCACUAAAGUGUAACUGACGCUGAGGCACGAAAGCGUGGGGAUCAAACAGG